rnacentral:rRNA from 1 species
AUUGAACGCUGGCGGCAUGCUUUACACAUGCAAGUCGAACGGUAACAGGCCGCCAGGUGCUGACGAGUGGCGCACGGGUGAGUAAUGCAUCGGAACGUGCCCUGUCGUGGGGUAUAACUACUCGCAAGAGUAGCUAAUACCGCAUACGAUCUAUGGAUGAAAGCGGUGGACCGUAAGGCCUCUCGCGAUUGGAGCGGCCGAUGUCCGAUUAGGUAGUUGGUGGGGUAAAGGCUCACCAAGCCAACGAUCUGUAGCUGGUCUGAGAGGACGACCAGCCACACGGGGACUGAGACACGGCCCAGACUCCUACGGGAGGCAGCAGUGGGGAAUGUUGGACAAGGGGCGCAAGCCUGAUCCAGCAAUGCCGCGUGAAGGAGGAAGGCCUUCGGGUUGUAAACUGCUUUUGGACGGAACGAAACGGCUCUGGUUAAUACCCGGGGCUAAUGACGGUACCGGAAGAAUAAGCACCGGCUAACUACGUG